GGCGUGGAGGCGUUCAGCCAGGCCAGGGCGUGAGGCGUGCGAGGUUUCCUUGCUCAGGACUCUGUCCCUGCAGAAAAGAGGAACACAGAGAUGUUAGACAAUCUGUCAUCUGCUGGGUCCCAGUUCCUGGACUUCAAACACUUAGGAACAUUUCUGGUGUUUGAGGAGUUGGUGACCUUCGAGGAUGUGCUUGUGGACUUCAGCCCAGAGGAACUUAGCUCCCUUAGUGCUGCUCAGAGAAACCUCUACAGGGAGGUGAUGCUGGAGAAUUACCGGAACCUGGUCUCCCUGGGGCACCAAUUCUCUAAACCUGAUGUUAUCUCACGCCUGGAAGAGGAGGAAUCACAUGCAAUGGAGACAGACAGCAGACAUACAGUGAUUUGUCCAGGAGAGUCUCAUGAUGAUCCAUUGGAACCACACCAGGGCAACCAAGAGAAACUUCUGACUCCUAUAACAAUGAAUGACCCCAAGACCCUCACUCCGGAAAGAAGCUAUGGCAGUGAUGAAUUUGAGAGAAGCUCUAAUCUUAGUAAACAAUCAAAGGAUCCUCUAGGAAAGGAUCCCCAGGAAGGCACUGCUCCUGGAAUAUGUACGAGUCCCCAGUCAGCAUCCCAAGAGAACAAACACAACAGAUGUGAAUUUUGCAAACGAACCUUUAGUACUCAAGUAGCCCUUAGGAGACACGAACGGAUCCAUACUGGGAAGAAACCCUAUGAAUGUAAACAGUGUGGUGAAGCCUUCUAUCUCAUGCCACACCUCAAAAGACAUCAGAAGACCCAUUCUGGUAGGAAGACUUCUGGCUGCAAUGAAGGUAGAAAGCCUUCCAUCCAGUGUGCGAAUCUCUGUGAACGUGUAAGAAUUCAUAGUCAGGAGGACUACUUUGAAUGUUUUCAGUGCGGCAAAGCUUUUCUCCAGAAUGUGCAUCUUCUUCAACAUCUCAAAGCCCAUGAGGCAGCAAGAGUCCUUCCUCCUGGGUUGUCCCACAGCAAGACAUACUUAAUUCGUUAUCAGCGGAAACAUGACUACGUUGGAGAGAGAGCCUGCCAGUGUUGUGACUGUGGCAGAGUCUUCAGUCGGAAUUCAUAUCUCAUUCAGCAUUAUAGAACUCACACUCAAGACAGGCCUUACCAGUGUCAGCUAUGUGGGAAAUGUUUCGGCCGACCCUCAUACCUCACUCAACAUUAUCAACUCCAUUCUCAAGAGAAAACUGUUGAGUGCGAUCACUGUUGAGAAACCUUCAGUCACAGCACACACUUUUCUCAACAUUGUUGGCUUCCUCCUAGAGUGUUGUGAGUGUGAGAAGGCCUUUCACUAGCCCCAGCUUAACAACUUGAACAUUCAUCAAAGUGUGGUAAAAAAAAAAAGUUGCAAUUUUUCGAAGAGGGGAUUCCUCACGUCACACAGAUGGAGUCUCACUCUGUCACCCAGGCUGGAGUGCAGUAGUGCAAUCUUGGCUCACUGCAAGCUCCACCUCCCGGGUUCACACCAUUCUCCUGCCUCAGCCUCCCGAGUAUCUGGGACUACAGGCGCCCGCCACCACGCCCAGCUAAUUUUUUUGUAUUUCUAGUAGAGAUGGGGUUUCACCAUGUUAGCCAGGAUGGUCUCAAUCUCCUGACCUCAUGAUUCACCCACCUCAGCCUCCCAAAGUGCUGGGAUUACAGCUGUGAGCCACCGUGCCCGGCCAAUUUAUCUCUUAUAUACACAUUGCUGCUAUAGUUAUGCUUCCACCCCUUUAGCCCUUGGGUUUUGGGGUUUUGGCAUUUUUCCUUAUUGAUUUGCUCUAACGUCUUUGCAUCUGGUCUUGUUUCCUAAGGGGAAAUUCUCAGCAGUGGAAUUCCUGAGCCAAAAUGUCUGUAUCUUGAAGGUUUUAGAAACACUCCUAGCCUCAUUCUAGCAGGGUUUAAAAGUUGUGUUGAUUUUUUUUCUCUAGGGAAGGAUUAUAAACCACUUACCUCUCCUCCACAACCCUCUUCUCCUUGAAGAAUUUGCAUGAUGAACCCAUAUUAGGAUAUGACAGGAUUUAAGUCAGGCCUCAAAAGAGCCACAGAUGAAUUGAAGUCUUUUGUUUGAACUUUUUUUUUUUUUUUUUUUUUUUUUGAGGCAGAGUCUCACUCUGUCACCCAGGCUGGAGUGCAGUGGCGCAAUCUCAGCUCACUGCAAGCUCCGCCUUCCGGGUUCAUGCCAUUCUCCUGCCUCAGCCUCCCAAGUAGCUGGGACUACAGGCACCCGUCACCAUGCCUGGCAAAUUUUUUUUUUUUUUGUAUUUUUAGUAGAGAUGGAGUUUCACUGUGUUAGCCAGGAUGGUCUUGAUCUCCUGACCUUGUGACCCACCCCACCUCGGCCUCCCAAAGUGCUGGGAUUGCAGGUGUGGAGCCACCGUGCCUGGCCUGAACUAUGAUUUUUAACAUAGUUUUAUUAGGUAUUGUUUCCUCACUAUACAAAUAAUAUUGAGCAUAUUAAAGAAAAUUUUGCAAAACAGAGAAGGCUAAUAAACUUCCUAAUAGUUCUAGGUAUGCAACUAGUACAAGUCCAGGGAGGUAGUUAUAUUCACAAGUAGAAGAGACCCUUGGCAGAGAAGAGAGAGGGUGGGCUUUGGAGCCAGGGAGAGCUGAGGUCAAAUUUCAAGGUCCUCCUUAGAGGCUGAUUAUACCUCGUUUUCUUAGGAAAUGGGGAUCCUCCCCUGGGAGAACCAUUAAAAGGCCUAGAGUUCAUCUAUAGAAAAGAGCCUAAUAGUGCCUGGUAUUUAGAAGGCACUCAGUAACAAGUAGUUGCAAUUAGGGAGUAUUUUAAAUUUUAUUUUAUUUUAUUUUUAUUUUUUUUGAGAUGAUGGAGUCUCACUCUGUCACCCAGGCUGGAGUGCAGUGGUAUGAUCUCGGCUCACUGCAACCUCUGCCUCUAGGGUUCAAGCGAUUCUCCUGCCUCAGCCUCCUGAGUAGCUGGGAUUAUAGGUGCGUGCUAUCACACUCGGCUAAUUUUUGUAUUUUUAGUAGAGACAGGGUUUCCUCAUGUUGGUCAGGCUGGUCUCAAACUCCUGACCUCGUGAUGUGCCCACCUCAGCCUCCCAAAGUGCUGGGAUUACAGGCGUGAGCCACUGCACCCGGCCUAAAAUUUAUUUUUUAAAAUGUUUUAUUAGCAGCAAUAAACUAGAGUUGUAAACCACAGUUAACACAUCAAAACGCAACCACGUUUUAUCAUAUUUUAGUAUUUUUUCUACAAAUAUUUUUUUCUAUGUGUAGGUUUUUAAAAAUAGCAUUACAAGUUUAAAGUUCUUUUCUGAUUUUGUGACAAUUUUUAAUUUAUAUAAAAGUCUGAUUAACAAAGCAUAAAUUACUGUAUUUACAGUUUAGAAUCGAUUUCCAAAAAGUGGUUUCACUAGAUGACAUGUGAUGAACAUUUCUAAGGCUCUCGAAAGAUCCUGCUGGAUUUGUUUGUGGAGGGGCUCUGCCAUUUGUAGCCCUCAGCAUAGGGAGGGCCAGAGGUAUGAAAUAGGUGGUGAACUUACCAUCCUCC